rnacentral:rRNA from 1 species
CUGAAAGCAUCUAAGCACGAAACUUGCCCCGAGAUGAGUUCUCCCUGAGACUUUAAGUCUCCUGAAGGAACGUUAAAGACGAUGACGUUGAUAGGCCGGGUGUGUAAGCGCAGCGAUGCGUUGAGCUAACCGGUACUAAUGAACCGUGAGGCUUAACCUUACAACGCCGAAG